CAAUAAUAUUGAAGCCAUGGGUACAAAUUAAAUCCAGUUCAAUGAGUUAAAGCCAUAGCAACUUGCACUGAAUCAUCAACAACUUAACUUUCUCUGGAUCUGCUGCAAAGUGAUUUCAGGGUCACACCGAACAUUCUUCCUUGACUAAAAACGAUGCCUUGAGAAUUCACUGAUGGCCACAGUGCAAUCAAUACUAAUCAGGUUUACUCCAUUCAUUAGAGGAGAUGACAGAACUCUUGACAGCAAUGCUAUCAAGAAGGAAGUUUCAGUUUAAGAACCCCUCUGGGCUUGCAGAAUGACACACACUGCAGCCAAGAUGGUGCUACUAUAAGAAAUGGACUCCCC
rnacentral:lncRNA from 1 species